rnacentral:lncRNA from 1 species
GGGCUUUUGUUUCCAAGUAUGUACUUGCUGAUUUGUAUUCGAUAAAUGCAUUCCACCUGUGUAUAAUUUCUAGUUUGUUAAAGUAUCUUCAGUAUUAAAAAAGACUUUAAAGCACAAUGCAGAAACUUUAUUUUUUACUUGUAUAAUAAAACAAAGGUUCAUUGAUUUUCUGUCGUAUACGGAUUGUCCCUUUUACAGGACACAGUCCAGACAUAUCCUAGCACCUAGGAAGAUGGCGUAGGAGCAUGAUUAACCCUAUAACCUUUUAUGGGUUUCUUAUUUAUUUAUUUUUUUUUUGUCUGAUUAAAAAAA